GACUCAAUAGCUCAGCUGGUAGAGCACAUCCCUUUUAAGGAUGGGGUCCUGGGUUCGAGCCCCAGUUGAGUCA
rnacentral:tRNA from 1 species